rnacentral:rRNA from 1 species
AUCUCUAGAUUCAAUUACACGGUGCUCACUCUCAUUCCUAAGGUCAAAGGUGCUGACUUGAUCUCCCAGUUUAGGCCCAUUGCCUUAAUUAACAACUUUGCGAAGAUCCCGGCUAAGGGUCUGGCUACCAGGCUUUCUCCGAUCUCCCAUCGCGUCAUUAGCCCUUUCCAAUCGGCGUUUAUAAAGGGUAGAUUUAUUCUGGAUGGUGUUCUAUGCUUGCAUGAGAUUGUCCAUGACUUGCGAACCAAGGGCACUAAGGCAGUGGUUCUUAAACUUGACUUCGAGAAGGCUUAUGACUCGGUGAGCUGGAAUUUUCAUCGCCAAGUCCUU